CUCCCUAAUCUCUGCAGUUCCGUGUGUGCAUUGUGCAGUACAAGGAGAUCUUUAGACAGUGUAUCUCUAGACAAGGAUCAGGGGCCUUCAAAACAGUGUAUCUCUAGAUCUUCCCUCCUUCCAUCAGCUAUUCAGUAGGGGUAAUUGAGUAGCAAAUGACUGUAAUUUCUUUUGGAAGUUUUGAUUGGUACCAACUGUUGGACUGUAUUCAAAAUUUUCACUGCGCUCUUGAUUUAAUCUUGCACUACGUUUAUUAACAAAUUAUCUUCGAUGAUGAGUUAGCUAUGUUCUUCUUAUUUUUCAUGCUAAAUAAUCUUUUUGCAGUUUACGUGUACAAGGAAACAGUGGGCGAUGAAAGUAGGGGAUUUGUGAAGUUUGUGAACUACAUAUGACACAGAAAGAAACAAGAGAAGCUGGAAGUGGAAAUUCACUUGGGCUCCAGUAACCAAACAUGAUAAGCAUGUUGAGUUGGUAAGCGGAUAAGUGGACAAAUUCAUGGUUUGCUCCAUGGAAUGAUCUGCAUAUUUUCUGCACUCUGCAUUGAUAAUCUCGCUUGGCAUCAUCCAACCCAUAAAACUGAAUGACCAUAAGGUGAACCUCAGAUUCCUCUAAGAAGCAAGCAAAUCCAAGGUGUAGAGCCGCUCGAGUCAUCGAGAUCAGGGGGUGAAGCUGAAGUUGUUGACAUCAAUGGGGUGGAGCUGUGGAGGUGGGGGGUCAUGCUAUGCUAUGCUUCUGUCAUUUUGACUUCUGGCGACCAAAGCAAUGAGUUAAUUGCACGGAUAGGAAAAAAUCACUUGCAAGUCUGAGUGAUCCACUUUCACAUGACUACAGAAUAUAGAGUUUUCUCUCAGCCACUGAAAUUUUGUAGUCAAAAGUGGCCUGACAGACAUUCUUGGACCAAGUACUUCAGGAAUAUGGUUCAGCCGUCCAGGCAUGGGAAGAAGGUUCCUUGUAUCCUAGCUGAUGCUCCUUUGAGAAAGUGAUAGCGGCUGAUCGCUAACCUUUUGUUUCUUUCAUAAGCAUGUUGUUCAGGAAAAAAAAACAUUUACCAUGUGAUUUUGAGAAGCAUGCCUUAUUUAAUUUUCUUUACUUAUAGCUAGCUCCAUCUGAUUUGUAUCCAUAUUAGUUGAAAACUCUGUGCAUGUGACCUUAUUUCUCUGCAGAAUCGUCUGAAUAAUGGUUUCAGGAUGGCUAGGCCACAGAGGAAAGCACAUCAGGUUCACAAGGAUAACAAAAUGACGUCAGAAGAAUGCAUCAGAAUGUGAGCAGGACCCUGUCAAGAUCAUCAUGCAGGAUUUGAUCACUGUUUGUUUGAGGCACUGUCAGGACUGGAUACGCCAAUACAGAAGGAAGAGGCGAAGAGCUAGAGUUCCCGUGACCAAAUGAGACAGGGAUGAAAAUUGACCAAUAUUAUACUGAUGGUGAGCUAAAGGAGCAUGAUCUGUUGAGCAGAGGAGCAAUGCAAGGAGGAGGAGCCAUUGCGACCAUAUAGAAUAGAAGUUCUGCUCUGGCCAUUACUCUUACAUCUGCACCGACGAUUGGAUAGAAUCAUUGUGUGCUUAUACGCCCCAACCCAACCAACAAAACUCCAGAUGGAUCUGUAUUAAGUUUGGCAGGGCUCAAUGAAGUUCUACCGGUGAUUAAUGUUAUGCUGAUCUCGACAAACCGGCGCCAGCUUCGGCACGAGGCGUUGGCUGGGCCGGUAGUCGUUUUUCCGAA